GAGGACGCCCCGCCUAAGAAGUCAGUGGCGGAGCUGGCUGGAAAGUUCAAAGCUCAUGCCCCUCCCUUCCCCACGGGAACUGACGGGAGUAAUAAGCCUGUUAGGAGACGCCCCCCUCGAACCCUACAUCUCCCCAAGACCACAGCACAGGGACAGGUGGACGAGGAGGUGAGAGGAGUGUGUGAGUGUUUGAGGAGACUGUUUGACAAUUGUGUGUUGUACAGUUCUAUGUACAGCCAUGUCCCUUUUGAUGUCUGUGUGUACAUGUGUGUGUGAGGGGUAGCGCUGUGUGUUGUACAGUUCUAUAAUGCCAUGUCCCGUUUGAUGUCUGUGUGUACAUGUGUGUGUGAGGUGUAGUGCUGUGUGUUGUACAGUUCUAUAAUGCCAUGUCCCAUUUGAUGUCUGUGUACAUGUGUGUGUGAGGGGUAGUGCUGUGUGUUGUACAGUUCUAUAAUGCCAUGUCCCUUUUGACGUCUGUGUGUAGGACAUCCGAUUAUGAUUUUUCAAUACCGAUACCGAUUAUUGGAGGACCAAAAAAGCCAAUACCGAUUAAAUCGGCCGAUUGAAUUUUUUUGUUGUUGUAAUAAUGACAAUUACAACAUGUUACGGCUUUCUUCCGAUGAAAAGAUUGGCGACCCUCACCGCCGACCUUGGCCUAGUAACCCUCACCAAGGGCCCCACUGGACUGAGGGGCAGCUCGGGACUGAGGGGUAGCUCGGGACUGAGGGGUAGCNNNNNNNNNNNNNNNNNNNNNNNNNNNNNNNNNNNNNNNNNNNNNNNCUUCACCCCCACCUCCACCUGCUCCCCCAUCCCUCCUGUUACUACAGUAACCCCCACCUCCCCAGUCAGCAGGGCACCCCUCCCUCGGUCGCUGAGCGAGGAAGAGACACCUGCCACCUUUGAGGUCCCAGCCACACCCACCGACGGAUCCCUACUGCCCAGUAUCAACAAGGGAAGAGCCCGCCUCUCCAUCCGGCGACGCCCACCUUCGAGACGCCACAGGAAGUCCAGCGGAGAGGAAGGAGACGGGGUGACGGGUGAAGAGAUGCCCCUAACUACACCCGACGACCCUGAGGCCAAAGUUGGGGAGGAAGAGAAAGGAGAGGGGGAGGAGGUGUUUGAGAAGGAAGUGGAAGAGAAGGAUGGUGAAAGAGCAGACACCACUAUGUAUACCAAAGAAAAGAUAGAGACAGGCUCCUCUACCCCUGCUAACUCACAGCAACAGAUUGCCACAACAGACAGAUCAACUACAGACCCUGACCCACUGGAAAAGACAAAGUCAGAAAAAACGCUGGAGAGACAGACAGGAGAGGAGAGACAGGAGGACAGGCAGACAGCAGAGGAGAGACCGACAGGAGAGGAGGCAACAGGGUCUAGAGGAGAAGAGGUGAAAGAUUGUGGUCAGGGGUGUGGAGGAGAAGAAAAGGAGAAGGGGAGGGAGACUUGUUCAGUGGAGGAGUCAUCUACAGAGAGAGAGAAAGAAGAGGGGGAAGAGCUGGCCUGCAAAGAAAAGGAGGGAGAGAGAGAUACAGACUGCAACGAAGAGAAGGAGAACACCAAGCUCUGAUGGGCCGUAACCGCACCAUGCCCCUGCCUUACAGAGAGAGAUAUAGGGACCUAAUCAGAGGGAAAAAGGGAACAGGUGGGAAACGGGGUGAAUGGGUAGUUAGGAGGAGACAAGGCACAGCUGGGGGAGAAAAGGUAACCUAACAACGACCAGCAGAGGGAGACCGGGUGAAGGGAAAGGACAGAAACACACAACAUGACAAUACAUGACAGUACCCCCCCACUCACCGAGCGCCUCCUGGCGCACUCGAGGAGGAAACCUAGCGGCAACGGAGGAAAUCCUCGAUCAGCGCACGGUCCAGCACGUCCCGAGAGGGAACCCAACUCCUCUCCUCAGGACCGUACCCCUCCCAAUCAACGAGGUACUGGUGACCACGGCCCCGAGGACGCAUGUCCAAAAUCCUGCGGACCCUGUAGAUGGGUGCGCCC
rnacentral:lncRNA from 13 species